rnacentral:rRNA from 1 species
UGGGGAAUAUUGCACAAUGGGCGCAAGCCUGAUGCAGCGACGCCGCGUGGGGGAUGACGGCUUUCGGGUUGUAAACUCCUUUCGCUAGGGACGAAGCUUUUUGUGACGGUACCUAGAUAAGAAGCACCGGCUAACUACGUGCCAGCAGCCGCGGUAAUACGUAGGGUGCGAGCGUUGUCCGGAAUUACUGGGCGUAAAGGGCUCGUAGGUGGUUUGUCGCGUCGUCUGUGAAAUUCCGGGGCUUAACUCCGGGCGUGCAGGCGAUACGGGCAUAACUUGAGUACUGUAGGGGUAACUGGAAUUCCUGGUGUAGCGGUGAAAUGCGCAGAUAUCAGGAGGAACACCGAUGGCGAAGGCAGGUUACUGGGCAGUUACUGACGCUGAGGGGCGAAAGCAUGGGUAGCGAACAGG